AGAAUCAACGCUGGCGGCGUGCCUAACACAUGCAAGUCGAACGAGAAAGCGGGAGCAAUCCCAUGAGUAAAGUGGCGCACGGGUGAGUAACACGUGACUAACCUACCCUUGAGUGGGGGAUAACCUAGGGAAACCUGGGCUAAUACCGCAUAAUACCUACGGGUCAAAGGAGCAAUUCGCUUUAGGAGGGGUCGCGGCAGAUUAGUUAGUUGGCGGGGUAAUGGCCCACCAAGACAGUGAUCUGUA
rnacentral:rRNA from 1 species